AACGCACGAGACCUGCGGACCUGCGGAGGGAUCAUUAAUGAGAAACUGCCCCUCGCGGGUAGAUCUCCCACCCUUUGUAAACUUACCUUUGUUGCUUUGGCAGGCCCGUCUCCGGACCGCCGGCUUCGGCUGGCCAGUGCCUGCCAGAGGAUUCUAAAACUCUGUCUGUCAGUGUUGUCUGAGUCUAUAUGCAAUCGUUAAAACUUUCAACAAUGGAUCUCUAGAUCGGAAGAGCACACG
rnacentral:misc_RNA from 1 species